UGGGGAAUAUUGCACAAUGGGGGAAACCCUGAUGCAGCAACGCCGCGUGAGUGAUGAAGGUCUUCGGAUUGUAAAGCUCUGUCUUUGGGGACGAUAAUGACGGUACCCAAGGAGGAAGCCACGGCUAACUACGUGCCAGCAGCCGCGGUAAUACGUAGGUGGCAAGCGUUAUCCGGAUUUACUGGGCGUAAAGGGAGCGUAGGCGGAUACUUAAGUGGGAUGUGAAAUACCCGGGCUCAACCUGGGUGCUGCAUUCCAAACUGAGUAUCUAGAGUGUGGGAGAGGAGAGUGGAAUUCCUAGUGUAGCGGUGAAAUGCGUAGAGAUUAGGAAGAACACCAGUGGCGAAGGCGACUCUCUGGACCAUAACUGACGCUGAGGCUCGAAAGCGUGGGGAGCAAA
rnacentral:rRNA from 1 species